rnacentral:misc_RNA from 1 species
AACGCACGAGACCUGCGGACCUGCGGAAGGAUCAUUAGUGAACGCCCUCACGGGCUUAUAACUAUUCCAAACCUCUGUGAGCCGUGCCCUUCGGGGCUAUUUUACAAACAUGGUGUAAUGAACGUCAUAUAUCAUAACAAAACAAAACUUUCAACAACGGAUCUCU